rnacentral:lncRNA from 1 species
AAAAGCAAUGGAAUUUCUAUCAGAAAAAAAGCAGAUAUUUUGAUCUCAAAACAAAACAAAACAAAACUAAAACCUGCAAACAAAACCCAGUGUACCUUGCAUUUGUAAAGUGCCAUGAAACCUGCAGUGCACCUUCAUCCACUCUAUAUGAUUAGAUCUUGCUGAUGACCCAGUGAGGUAGGAUAGAUGUGAAAGUCUUUUGUAAGCUGCUUACGUAUCAUCAUUCUUCUUCUGAAUGCAUAACGCAUGUCACUGAGCUUUGGGGAGGUUAACUAACUUGUCCACAUUAUAGGUGAUGGGCUAGAGUUAGAACUCAAGGCUUGUGCCUUCUGGCAAUGCUACAAAAUAAGUUGGCAAGAAUGAAUUCAAAGUGUGGUAGUACCUUCAUCCGGAAACUGGUUUGAUCCUACAAUCUUGUUUUAAAACAAUUGCUUAUGACUUACUGAAAGGACCUUUAAGACUGGUGUGUGUAUUUGUAUCACCUGUGAACCAUGGGUAGAUUCCUGUGUCAGAUUCUCAGAUAUCCUGAUUUAGUAGUUCUGCAAUGGAACCUAGAAAUUCUCAUUUUUAUAAAGACUCCAAGCUCUUCAAAACUUUUACUUGAUUUUCUGUAGACCAAGUUUCCAUCACUCCUACUCACCCCACAUUAAUGUUGACAUUCUUCUUAGUGGUAUGUAAAGAAAUACUGGAGGAACAAAUUCUGGCUUUCUGAGAAAAAUGGAACCCAUUAGACUACUUCAUGGUUAAGCAUGGAUGUGCUCAUUUUGAGUGAUGGGGUCACACUGAUCCAAACACACCUCCCCCAGCCCUCAGGGGACCACAGCCCCACUUUUGGAUGCAGCAGAGGAUCGUGUAUGCCCUGAAAGGGAGUGAAGCUCUGAAGGCACCAAACCCACAACCUGAGCCUCCACGCAACAAAGUCAAUGACCACAUCAUUAACGAAUCCUGAAUUUGUCAGCCAAGCAGAGGCAAUGCUUGGGGCUUAACGAUUGUCCACAUAUCAUGUAACAAAUGACCGUGUGUGCAUGCAUGUGUGGGGGAGUAAAUGAGAAAGCAUGUUUUGUAAGAAAAUUUAAUUUCCUUAUAACAACCAACCAGUUUCUUUUAGUGAAUCAACAGAUAAGGGGGUCCCAAAUACAGCAUUAACGAUUUUAAAAGCAUGAGUGCCAAUGGUAUUUUCUUUCUUUUUCUUUCUCUUUCUUUCUUUUUCUCUUUCUCUCUCUCUGUCUCUCUCUCUUUCUUCUUUCUUUCUCUCUUCCUCUCUUCCUUUCCUUUCUUUCUUUUUAAAGAAAGGCAAGGUAAAGAUUGGGAAUGUUGAUGAACGAUGGCCCCAUUCUCUAAGAGCUCAGUGAGAGUCUGUGUCAACUUGUUUUCCUCUCUUCCUCC